GGAUGAGCCCGCGGCCUAUCAGCUUGUUGGUGAGGUAGUGGCUCACCAAGGCGACGACGGGUAGCCGGCCUGAGAGGGCGACCGGCCACACUGGGACUGAGACACGGCCCAGACUCCUACGGGAGGCAGCAGUGGGGAAUAUUGCACAAUGGGCGAAAGCCUGAUGCAGCGACGCCGCGUGAGGGAUGACGGCCUUCGGGUUGUAAACCUCUUUCAGCAGGGAAGAAGCGAAAGUGACGGUACCUGCAGAAGAAGCGCCGGCUAACUACGUGCCAGCAGCCGCGGUAAUACGUAGGGCGCGAGCGUUGUCCGGAAUUAUUGGGCGUAAAGAGCUCGUAGGCGGCUUGUCACGUCGGUUGUGAAAGCCCGGGGCUUAACCCCGGGUCUGCAGUCGAUACGGGCAGGCUAGAGUUCGGUAGGGGAGAUCGGAAUUCCUGGUGUAGCGGUGAAAUGCGCAGAUAUCAGGAGGAACACCGGUGGCGAAGGCGGAUCUCUGGGCCGAUACUGACGCUGAGGAGCGAAAGCGUGGGGAGCGAACAGGAUUAGAUACCCUGGUAGUCCACGCCGUAAACGGUGGGCACUAGGUGUGGGCAACAUUCCACGUUGUCCGUGCCGCAGCUAACGCAUUAAGUGCCCCGC
rnacentral:rRNA from 1 species